GACGAACGCUGGCGGCGUGCUUAACACAUGCAAGUCGAACGGUGAGGCCCUUCGGGGUACACGAGUGGCGAACGGGUGAGUAACACGUGGGUGAUCUGCCCUGCACUUCGGGAUAAGCCUGGGAAACUGGGUCUAAUACCGGAUAGGACCACUGCCUGCAUGGGUGGUGGUGGAAAGCUUUUGCGGUGUGGGAUGGGCCCGCGGCCUAUCAGCUUGUUGGUGGGGUGAUGGCCUACCAAGGCGUCGACGGGUAGCCGGCCUGAGAGGGUGACCGGCCACACUGGGACUGAGAUACGGCCCAGACUCCUACGGGAGGCAGCAGUGGGGAAUAUUGCACAAUGGGCGCAAGCCUGAUGCAGCGACGCCGCGUGAGGGAUGACGGCCUUCGGGUUGUAAACCUCUUUCAGCACCGACGAAGCGCAAGUGACGGUAGGUGCAGAAGAAGGACCGGCCAACUACGUGCCAGCCGCCGCCGUAAAAC
rnacentral:rRNA from 1 species